UGGUGAUAUGUUACAGGUCCUUGAGGGAGAUGGAGGGAUACAUUACUUUGUGUGGUGAUAUGUUACAGGUCCUUGAGGGAGAUGGAGGGAUAAAUAACUUUGUGUGGUGAUAUGUUACAGGUCCUUGAGGGAGAUGGAGGGAUAAAUAACUUUGUGUGGUGAUAUGUUACAGGUCCUUGAGGGAGAUGGAGGGAUAAAUAACUUUGUGUGGUGAUAUGUUACAGGUCCUUGAGGGAGAUGGAGGGAUAAAUAACUUUGUGUGGUGAUAUGUUACAGGUCCUUGAGGGAGAUGGAGGGAUAAAUAACUUUGUGUGGUGAUAUGUUACAGGUCCUUGAGGGAGAUGGAGGGAUAAAUAACUUUGUGUGGUGAUAUGUUACAGGUCCUUGAUGGAGGGAUAAAUAACUUUGUGUGGUGAUAUGUUACAGGUCCUUGAGGGAGAUGGAGGGAUAAAUAACUUUGUGUGGUGAUAUGUUACAGGUCCUUGAGGGAGAUGGAGGGAUAAAUAACUUUGUGUGGUGAUAUGUUACAGGUCCUUGAGGGAGAUGGAGGGAUAAAUAACUUUGUGUGGUGAUAUGUUACAGGUCCUUGAGGGAGAUGGAGGGAUAAAUAACUUUGUGUGGUGAUAUGUUACAGGUCCUUGAGGGAGAUGGAGGGAUAAAUAACUUUGUGUGGUGAUAUGUUACAGGUCCUUGAGGGAGAUGGAGGGAUAAAUAACUUUGUGUGGUGAUAUGUUACAGGUCCUUGAGGGAGAUGGAGGGAUAAAUAACUUUGUGUGGUGAUAUGUUACAGGUCCUUGAGGGAGAUGGAGGGAUAAAUAACUUUGUGUGGUGAUAUGUUACAGGUCCUUGAUGGAGAUGGAGGGAUAAAUAACUUUGUGUGGUGAUAUGUUACAGGUCCUUGAGGGAGAUGGAGGGAUAAAUAACUUUGUGUGGUGAUAUGUUACAGGUCCUUGAGGGAGAUGGAGGGAUAAAUAACUUUGUGUGGUGAUAUGUUACAGGUCCUUGAUGGAGGGAUAAAUAACUUUGUGUGGUGAUAUGUUACAGGUCCUGGAAGGAGAUGGAGGGAUAAAUAACUUUGUGUGGUGAUAUGUUACAGGUCCUUGAGGGAGAUGGAGGGACACACCAGAGGAGAAGCAGGAGCAAUCUGGGAACAUGGGUUAUACACACACACACACACACACACACACACACACACACACACACACACACAACAACACCUCUUGUACAUGAAGGAUUUUUAUCUUAUUUUAUUUACGAACAUAUAUUUUUUUAUCGUAGUUUAAUUGUCUAUUACUGUAACAUACAUUAUAUUAUUUAAUUAUGAUGGAUCUGAUCUGCAGCUACAGCAAUUCUAUCUGUUUUGUAUUGUGUAUUGUAUUGUUGGGUUGUAAUAUGUACUGAAAUGUAUUAUCAUUGAUUCUUUAUUUAUGUCAUUCAGAUGAUAGAAUAACAUUUUGUUAAUACAUUUCACAUAUACAUGUUUUCUUCUAAUGACCUGUACUUUUACAAUAUCGUUGCAUUG